GACGAACGCUGGCGGCGUGCUUAACACAUGCAAGUCGAACGGAAAGGCCCUGCUUUUGUGGGGUGCUCGAGUGGCGAACGGGUGAGUAACACGUGAGUAACCUGCCCUUGACUUUGGGAUAACUUCAGGAAACUGGGGCUAAUACCGGAUAGGAGCUCCUGCUGCAUGGUGGGGGUUGGAAAGUUUCGGCGGUUGGGGAUGGACUCGCGGCUUAUCAGCUUGUUGGUGGGGUAGUGGCUUACCAAGGCUUUGACGGGUAGCCGGCCUGAGAGGGUGACCGGCCACAUUGGGACUGAGAUACGGCCCAGACUCCUACGGGAGGCAGCAGUGGGGAAUAUUGCACAAUGGGCGGAAGCCUGAUGCAGCAACGCCGCGUGCGGGAUGACGGCCUUCGGGUUGUAAACCGCUUUCGCCUGUGACGAAGCGUGAGUGACGGUAAUGGGUAAAGAAGCACCGGCUAACUACGUGCCAGCAGCCGCGGUAAUACGUAGGGUGCGAGCGUUGUCCGGAUUUAUUGGGCGUAAAGGGCUCGUAGGUGGUUGAUCGCGUCGGAAGUGUAAUCUUGGGGCUUAACCCUGAGCGUGCUUUCGAUACGGGUUGACUUGAGGAAGGUAGGGGAGAAUGGAAUUCCUGGUGGAGCGGUGGAAUGCGCAGAUAUCAGGAGGAACACCAGUGGCGAAGGCGGUUCUCUGGGCCUUUCCUGACGCUGAGGAGCGAAAGCGUGGGGAGCGAACAGGCUUAGAUACCCUGGUAGUCCACGCUGUAAACGGUGGGUACUAGGUGUGGGGUCCAUUCCACGGGUUCCGUGCCGUAGCUAACGCUUUAAGUACCCCGCCUGGGGAGUACGGCCGCAAGGCUAAAACUCAAAGGAAUUGACGGGGCCCCGCACAAGCGGCGGAGCAUGCGGAUUAAUUCGAUGCAACGCGUAGAACCUUACCUGGGUUUGACAUGGAUCGGGAGCGCUCAGAGAUGGGUGUGCCUCUUUUGGGGUCGGUUCACAGGUGGUGCAUGGCUGUCGUCAGCUCGUGUCGUGAGAUGUUGGGUUAAGUCCCGCAACGAGCGCAACCCUUGUUCACUGUUGCCAGCACGUUAUGGUGGGGACUCAGUGGAGACCGCCGGGGUCAACUCGGAGGAAGGUGGGGAUGACGUCAAGUCAUCAUGCCCCUCAUGUCCAGGGCUUCACGCAUGCUACAAUGGCUGGUACAGAGAGUGGCGAGCCUGUGAGGGUGAGCGAAUCUCGGAAAGCCGGUCUCAGUUCGGAUUGGGGUCUGCAACUCGACCUCAUGAAGUCGGAGUCGCUAGUAAUCGCAGAUCAGCAACGCUGCGGUGAAUACGUUCCCGGG
rnacentral:rRNA from 1 species